CAUCAUGCCAUAUCACCAGGGGCUAUGGUCUCAACAGAUUCUAUUUGCUAACCAGAGUUGGGUAUGGGCAGUAUUUGGUUGGGAGACCUCCAGGGAAAACCUUCAGGAAAUGGUGU
rnacentral:rRNA from 1 species